UGUGGCUCAGUGGUAGAGCACUUGCCUAGCAUGUGUGAGGCACUGGGUUCAAGUCUCAGCA
rnacentral:tRNA from 1 species